GUGAAAUGGGAGGGGUUCGGAGGGUGAUUAUGUAUUUGAGGUUUCUUGAUGGUUAUCCCUGUUUGUCUUACAGAGCGCUGCUUCCUUUCAGUGUGUGUGGGAUGUUUGCUACAGCUGGGUGAGCAGAGAUCUGUUUUCACAUCUCUGAGGCUUGGUGUGGAGCUGUAGGAGAGCAGAUUUUCCUUCAGGAAAGGAACAGGACCGCAUUGACACUGUUGCCACAAGCAAGAUUGAUGGAUCAGACAGCUCUGCUGGCUGCUUACUCUACACUGGCUUUUUCCCAAGGAGGAGCAGGUGUCAUGUUUGAUGUUACAGUAAUUCACAGUGAAAAAGAGAAGCUUGCAAAUGGACCUGGCAAGGCAUAAGUAAAUUGCCUGCUAACAGAUUUGUGUUCUCCAAGCAUCACCUAGGCACAUGAUAGAGAAACAGAGGAUCGGGUUGCAAAGCAGCUUCUUAUCAGGUGAUGUCUCCCAGUGAUAUCACCAAAAGGCCCAGCUAAUGAAACUUCGGCUAAUUUGUCCUCGGUGUUAUUUAUCAGGCAAAGUUUAAAUAGUGCAUUCCUGGGGUGAGCUGUUCUGCUCACCUGACACAAACUGGACAGGUUGUGAUGGGAGGAGAGCUGCCUGUGGUGUUUCUGCUUGUAAUGGGUAGCACAUUAGAGAAUGCGUAGAGAGGCCAUAGGUCUGUUUAAGUUUCAAGAUUUUCCAUUGUACUUUAUGGAGUAAACAUACCUGAUUUUAUUUCAAACAAGAAAUCAGUCUGAAGAAGAGAAUUUCAGCUCCAGAGGCCCCUGUGGCAAAGAUUAAACACUAGAUCACAGCGUCUUAGUUUGGUCUCUGACAGCCCAUAUCAAAGCACCCCCAAGCUCUGAAGCCACAAAGUGUCACUGAGGAAUCUGAUCUUCCACUCCCAGACAGCAUUUCUACACUGGUGCAACUUUGCUGUCUGGCUGCAGUUCCUUCUAGUGAAAGGACAGGUUUAAAGGGGAGCAAGGCCCUAGUUUGGAAUGCCAGGGUUUGGGUACAUUUUUAUAUCAACUCUUUCUCACAGCUUCCUUUAAGAAAUCUUGGGCCAUUCUGCCAUCCAUAAGAAAUUCACCCAGGGUAGCCAAGGGCUAGAUUUGGGUUUGAGUUUUAUGGGACUAUGAUAACAAUAAGCUUCCAUUUUAAAUCCUACAGCCAGACUGAGAAAGAACAGACCUCAUCAUUCUGCUUAAGAGAGCAAAUCUGUAUACAGCCAAGUCUUAGAUGAGGGACCAAAAUUCUGCUCUGCUUCCCAGACUCCUGCUGUUCUGAAAACCAACGAAAUGUAUGCAUUGGCAAAGAGCUGUGCCCAGAGCCUGGCUGUUCUGCAUUACUUCCUAUCAUCUGAAGGCUCAAAUGGCCCUGCCAUUACCUCCUCAUGCCUUGCAAAAAAUAGCAUUCAGUGCACUGGAACGGCUAUUCUUAAAAUGAGGUACUAUAAGGAGUUGGUAAUGGUUGAUGCUAUUGCUAAUGUAGCCAGUGUUGUAAGGUAAAAGGAGCAAUCAGCUCUCUUCUUCAGGGCUUGCAUCUAUUUUCAGAGAGAAAUCACUAAAAAAUGUCAUGUUUAUCAGGUCAAUCAUAGGUUGCUUCAGUUCUCCAAUAUAUCUGGCACUGGUGUGCACUGAAGAUCAUCUGUAACGCUAAAUGGCCCAGAGAUGUCUUCCUCUGAUGGUUUGCUGUGACCCAGUUGACCCUCGCCCAACCAGGAAGGUGUGGGUGAGCUUGGUGUGAAGAAAUCAGUGAUGUUGACUCAUACAGACUGUAUGAGCUACCUGGGGCUUGCUUUCUGUCUUGUACCUGCUUCAGCUGCUUCUCUGGGGCUAUGCUACCCAUUUGUAGCUCUAAUGUGGUAGUUGUCAGCAUAGCCAAAGGUUUAAGAAGGUGAUGGUGACCUGAGGUUCUUGGUUACAAGACAUCUUACACCUGUGUAUUUAGGUCCAUGUGUUUGCUGCCUUAAAAUCAGGCCAGCACAAGAUGUCUCAAGUCAAGUAUGCACAAUAAGCAAGCCUUUUGGAAAAGCAUCAUCAGUUAUGGCUCUUGUUGCAUCCAUUCAAACAAGGAGCAUCAUGCUGCCUGGAGAGGCUCACCUUCCCCACAAGGCAUAGGCUGGCCUGACCUUCCCAGAUUGCCAUUACCCACUUAUCUGGUUUGUGUGUGUAGUUAGACACUGCUUUCACCACCAGGAAACUGAACUUUGGCAGAACCUGGGAUCCUUCAGGGUACCUGCCAGGAGCUCUAACCCCUCAGGAGCACCCAUGAUGCUGAUUUCUCAGUGUCUCUGGCCUCCCACCACCUGCUCCCUUUGGGGUUUCUCCACCUGGCCCUGGUGAUUCACUGCACAGGAGGGUCUCAGGAGGCUCCAUAACUCCUUCCCCUGAGACUCAAUGUCUUGAAGAGAGGACAUCCUGAGGGGUGGGGGGAUAUUUUGUUUGGUUGUGAAUCAGGGAUAACAUAAACCUGGCUUGCUGCUACCUCACAGGCAUAAGGUUUAUGCCAUCCUGGGGGUCAAGAUUGGAAAGGGUACACAUGUGCAACAUCCAAGCAUGACACCAGCCAACUCUUAAGCAGUCUUGUCAGAGUGUCUUCAUAACCUUGUUACUGGCCGGGGCUGUGGGGACCAUGUGUUUGGAGAAUUGAGUGGGGCCCUUUCCUGCCUGGCAAUAAAAUCUAUUCUAAUUAAAACUCCCUGCACAUGUGCUCUAUGAAGGGCAGGGAAAAGCUUUUGCAGCUUGAGGUCAGAACUGACAAAUGAGCUGGUGUGCUCAGAGCGGGUGGCUCGAGGAACACCUGCUGUGGGAGGCUGCCACAAGAGCAGGGAUGGCAGGAAAAUUGAUGGUGACCUUGCAGCACACAUCCAGGGGAGGCACUGAAGGAUAAGCCCAUGCUCUGGGUUUGAAGCUGACGGUACAUGCAACAAAUUCAGCACUGUGUCUCCAACCAGCCUUGGUGGUGUGGAAGGAGAUUGCUGUCUCCCAGAUCAGAGGGAGGAACUGUAGGCAGGAUGCACUGCUGUUCAGCUCCCUGCACCCAAAGUACUGCAGGGCCAGUCCUGACUUUCUCCUACAGGCUCUGGGCUCCCCCUCCCCAUCACUGCUUGAAGGGGUCCCAAGAGGACAGACGCAGUGACUUUCCUUUCUGCACACUGCGUGAAUUCCUCAUGCAGAAUUGUUUCUUUUUCUUUUAUAAUUCUAAGGGGAAAUCCAGAGGUUAGUGCUUUCACAUUCAUGUUUUGUUUGAAAACAUUAAAAAGAAACAGAAUUUUACAUACUUUUGUUUGUUUUUACAACUUUGUCCUCAUUGGACAUAUUUCUACUUUGGAACAUACAGAGUGGAGAAAAACAGGGAAAAUGAAAGGAGAGCCCCUCAAUCUUAUUCAUUCUAUUGCAACUAUUGGCAAGAAAAUAAUGGGGGAAAAAAAGAGUUUUGAAAUGUAAAAAGAAAUGAGUUUUUGAAAAAAAUAGUAGUAAAUCUGUACCUAGCUGAAUAUCAAGAUAUUGCCAGCAGAUUGGAUAAAAAUAUUUGAGAAAUUUUCUCAUUGGAAACAAAUUAUUUUCUGGUUGUUACUGCUACUUGGAUAUUUAUCAGCUUGGCCAUAGGAGUUACUCUUCAAGCAAGGAAAAGAAAUGCACACAAGAUUAGUAACGCUCAGAGCAGCCCCAGGUGUAAUUUUCAGCCAGCAGACCCAGCAGCUUCUGACAACUUUUCAAGACAUUUUUUACAGAACACGUGCCUUGGUAUUUACUAUACUAGACUGAGGAAAAUAGAAAUUCUUUAUAUGUUGGGAGCACACAAGGAAGAAAACACCUAUAAUUUUUCUCCCUACGUAAUGUAUCAUUCACAGAUUGGAAGCCGGUUGAGCAGUGGUUUCUAGUGGUGAGAGCAGGAUAUUGGGUUUCAGGACUCUUGGGCUAAAUUAUCGAAUCUGCUAUUGAUUUGCAGCGUGACCUUGGGCAAGUCAUUUAAAGGGAAAUAUGUAAUUAUUAGUUUCAAUUGGCCGGACUAACUUAUUGUCUGUAGCUUUAUAGCACUUGCUACUUUUCAUAAGAAGGUUUCGGAGGGAUGGUGUCUUGUCUUUGCAAACAUUUUUUCUUGUUUUUAAAGGGUUUGGUUUUUUUUUUUAUUCUCUUCCAUAAAAUAUGUAAUAUGCAAACAAUCCAACAGAGAAAACUAAUAACCCAGACUCUAUGAGUACUUUAGCACAUGCUUCAAGCUAUAUUAAUGAGUAUUUAAUUUGAAUAGAAUGUCUUUGGUUAGUAAACUGCAUAAUUGUAUAUGUACACCAUUGUAGCAUCAGCUUAGAGGACCAAUAAGGAACAAACAAAUACAUGACAAGAUAAGAAAUGUUGUCCUACCUAAUCAUUUACAAAGAGAUAGUAGGAAAAAUGAGGGAUUUGAAGGUGAGGUGAAUUAAUUAUGAAAGUUUUUUGUUUUGUAAUUAGGAAAGGAUUUUACCCAAAGUGAAGAGGGUAAACUGAAAUAAUCUCCAUAUUUUUGUAAAAGAUAAAAACUUUCCAAUAGAUCUUUUUCCUAAAUAAAAAUGUUUUUUGGAUAAAAUAAAAGA